UUUCCGUAGGUGAACCUGCGGAAGGAUCAUUACUGAGUUUUGGAUGAAGUUGUUCUGGUCUUUCGGGGCAAGUGAACGCUUCUCUCAAUCCAUCUUACACCUGUGCACCUAUCGGGGAAGACUUGAGUCUAAGUUGGGUCACGACGGCGAUCUACAGUCUCCUCUUUAUACCAAAUAACGGUUUUAGAAAGUCUUUUUUGCUUGAUGCAAACUUAAAUAAAUACAACUUUCAGCAACGGAUCUCUUGGCUCUC
rnacentral:misc_RNA from 1 species